GGCCGUUACAGUAAUUGUUGCCGCUUACCGCACGCCUCUUCCGUCCCACGGGCGUUUUACAGACGUCGUCUCUUGGAACCCUGGCGGCCAGCGCGCGGGCACUCUUCCCAGACUCGAGUUCUCUGCGCGCAGAGGCCGCCAGCUGUCCAGGGGCCGCGCAGCUGGCCAGGAUCCCAAGGCAGGUCUGUCCCUGCUGUGUCACCACCCCUGACCCUGACCGUGCCUGGCCCAGAGGCGCCCGGCACAACCCAUCUGGGAGUUUUCGAGCUCCACGCGGGGGGGCGGGAAUUUUCAGCCACAACUUCUGUAUCCGGGUGGGGAGUUGCAGAGGGAAACACAAACAGAGUUCGAAAAAGAGUGAUUCUUGCGCCGGGAAAGUUGGAGCCCAGAAGAGUUCAGGAGUGGGCGGGGUGGUGUUUAAAAAAAAAAAAAAAGGGUGGAAACCCCAUCGGCCAACCCCGCAGAAAAAAACAAAUAAAUACCCUCUGCCUAUCUGCAGACGGCCCCUCCCCUGGGCCUGCGCGGAGCAGAGGGACACGUGCGGUCUCCUCCAGGCGCCGGGUGGGCACGCACGACCCCCGCCGCGGCCUCUGCCGGGGCCCAGGACCCGUCGGCCAUGAGCAGCCCCAACGGCACGGCGCCGCCCCCCGACCAGUCCGACUCGGGGAUCACCUCCCAGACGGACAUCGCGGUCAUUUCAGGUGAGCUGUGCCUGUCUGGGUCCCGCCCACAGCUGGGCAGGUGGGAGGGGGUCUGAGACCCCCUGUGGAGAGGGGCCCGGGCCGUCCUCCCUCCCCCAGGUGGGAUUGUGCCGGUUUUAAAUCUGGUAAUCCCGAGACCUGGGAAUGUGCUCCAUCCCCGGCAAACCUACUUGCCUUGUGCAAAUCAUGUGCACAUUGCGGUAAUCCACGCGCAUGUGGCCUCCCGGGCCGGCCUGCCAGCGGUGGUCAAUCCUGGGGAGCUAUUCUAGACUCAGUCUGCAGAGACUUUGGUGGAAGAAGGGACCAGGAGAAG
rnacentral:lncRNA from 1 species